UACGAAGGGGGCUAGCGUUGCUCGGAAUCACUGGGCGUAAAGCGCACGUAGGCGGAUUGCUAAGUCAGGGGUGAAAUCCUGGAGCUCAACUCCAGAACUGCCUUUGAUACUGGCGAUCUUGAGUCCGGGAGAGGUGAGUGGAACUGCGAGUGUAGAGGUGAAAUUCGUAGAUAUUCGCAAGAACACCAGUGGCGAAGGCGGCUCACUGGCCCGGUACUGACGCUGAGGUGCGAAAGCGUGGGGAGC
rnacentral:rRNA from 1 species